UUUUGAAGGCGGCGGUGGGAGGGACUGAGGGGCUGAUGUGCUCAGGUGCUUCAUGCUGAGCUUUCGCCUUCCUCUCUAGGGCUGCUGAUGCUGCGGCCCCAGUCCUCCAAAAGCGUAAAACGAAGCCCAUAACGCGGGGCUGGUGGGGAAAACCAGUGCUAUGUCAGUGAGGAAACGGGUUGGGGUUGGCGGGCGGCCUUCUGUGGGGCUGGAGUGCAUCCCUCAGGGGUUGGGGCUGGGAGGGUUGGCCCAGCCUUUAUCGAUGCUGCCCUCGUUCUCGUUCCUGCUGUAGGUCCACUUCGUUUAAAAGACUCGCUGACAGAAUUCCUGCUUUUAAAUGCCGUUUUUAGUCGUAUUGUUACACUUUUUCUUAUAUCUCAGCGCUUUAAUUUUUUCAAGCGGCCUUGAAGCAGUACCACGCUGAUACAAGGGCUAUGGCACUGUGGCCUUACAGCUCUGACAACACUUAAAGAACCUCCAAGAAAGACAGCUUGGCUCUUCAGGUUUUGGCACCUAGCCUGAUUGACCUCUUCCUAUUGCAAUGUCUGAACAAUUCCCCAAGUUUUGUUCUGAGAUGGAUGCAGGAUUUUAGCACCAGCGCUUCAGGAGCCUCCACAGAAUGCACUUCCAUUGCUUCGGAGGGUCUCAGGUUCAGCUACUCCAUUACAGCUCCACCAGGAGAGGAUUGCUUUUAAAUGACUUGUGCCUGCUGUGUCAUGUCUGGAGCUGGAGCUGAGUGGAGCCGCUGGGAGGCCAUGUGUGACAGGCUCUGCAGUUGCAGGCAUUGAAUCUUUUUUUAUCCAGCAAACCUGUGAUCUACCACUUGGUUUUAUCUGUAAGUUUUUUUUUCCAAUGAUUUCCAGCAUGUGCCCAAGUUUUAUUGCCUGAGAAGUUGCUUGUGUGAAGGUUUUCUCUCAGAGCCUUUCAGUCUGUCCCAUCUUUGCAG
rnacentral:lncRNA from 1 species